rnacentral:rRNA from 1 species
GAUGAACGCUGGCGGCGUGCCUAAUACAUGCAAGUCGAGCGAAGAGACGAGGAGCUUGCUCCUCAGACGUUAGGGGCGGACGGGUGAGUAACACAUGGAUAACCUACCUAUAAGACAGGGAUAAGUUCGUGAAACCGGAGCUAAUACCGGAGAAUAUAUUGAAGCGCAUGGUACAAUAGGGAAAGACGGUUUUGCUGCCUCUCAUAGAGUGAUCCGCGCCGCAGUAGCUAGUUGGGAAGGUGACGGCUUACCAAGGCGACGAUGCGUAGCCGACCGGAGAGGCUGAUCGGCCGCCCUGGAACUGAGACACGGUCCAGACUCCUACGGGAGGCAGCAGUGGGGAAUCUUCCGCAAUGGGCGAAAGCCUGACGGAGCAACGCCGCGUGAGUGAUGAAGGUCUUCGGAUCGUAAGACUCUGUUAUUAGGGAAGAACAAAUGUGUAAGUAACUAUGCACGUCUUGACGGUACCUAAUCAGAAAGCCCCGGCUAACUCCGUG